UCAUUUCUGCCCAUGGAGCGUUUUUGGGAU
rnacentral:piRNA from 1 species